AGAUUGCAAGAGCAAAGAAAAAUGUAUAAUGAUCCAAUUCAAAUUCUGAGAGUACAAAAGUGCAGGCCUGUGACUUGUUUUUUUUCUGGCAUAAAUGGUUGAGCCUUACUCUCUAAAAUUCUGAUGCUGAAAAAACUUACCAAAAAAUUAGGCAAGCGAAAUGCUGAAAUAAUAGAGGUAGUUUUUUUCUC